rnacentral:rRNA from 1 species
AUUGAACGCUGGCGGCAGGCCUAACACAUGCAAGUCGAACGAGUGGCGGACGGGUGAGUAAUGUCUGGGAAACUGCCCGAUGGAGGGGGAUAACUACUGGAAACGGUAGCUAAUACCGCAUACCAUCGGAUGUGCCCCGAUGGGCUUAGCUAGUAGGUGGGGUACCGGCUCACCUAGGCGACGAUCCCUAGCUGGUCUGAGAGGAUGACCAGCCACACUGUAACUGAGGCACGUUCCAGACUCCUACGUGAGGCAGCAGUGGGGAAUAUUGCACAAUGGGCGCAAGCCUGAUGCAGCCAUGCCGCGUGUAUGAAGAAGGCCUUCGGGUUGUAAAGUACUUUCAGCGAGGAGGCGUUACUCGCAGAAGAAGCACCGGCUAACUCCGUGCCAGCAGCCGCGGUAAUUC